GGUUGUGGCUCAGUGGUAAAGCACUUGCCUAGCAUGCAUGAGGCACUGGGUUCGAUCCCCAGCACCA
rnacentral:tRNA from 1 species